rnacentral:rRNA from 1 species
GAUUAACGCUAGCGGCAGGCCUAAUACAUGCAAGUCGAACGGUAACAUGAGUAGCAAUACUUGAUGACGAGUGGCGCACGGGUGCGUAACACGUAUGCAACAUACCUAUAACUGGGGAAUAGCCUUCCGAAAGGAAGAUUAACACCGCAUAAUACUUUGAGAAGGAUUCUUUUUAAAGUCAAACCUCCGGGGGUUAUAGAUUGGCAUGCGUCUGAUUAGAUAGUUGGCGGGGAACGGCCCACCAAGUCUACGAUCAGUAGGGGGUCUGAGAGGAUGAUCCCCCACACUGGUACUGAGAUACGGACCAGACUCCUACGGGAGGCAGCAGUAAGGAAUAUUGGACAAUGGGCGCAAGCCUGAUCCAGCCAUGCCGCGUGCGGGAA